ACCAAUUUCACACAUCGGGACUGUGUACAGAAGCCAGGAACCCAAAUGAGGUAUACCUAGUAUCUUGGUCUCGCUCACGCCUGACCACCUUUCAGCAGGUACCAAUCUAUACAUACAUUAUGUAUAGGUAGGUACCUACAAGAACUUAAUAAGACAUGUCAAAAGUUGCUGUUUUAGUGGAUUCUGCCUCUGUGUAUUAUUGAUUAGAACAUUAGGCUUAUGAUCUGGAGGUCCGGAUACUGUUCCUGAUAUUAUCAAAAUUACUUUGUGAGAUUAUACAUUACAAAUCAAAUAUUUUUAAUGAUCACAAACAGUUAGAACAUACAAAAAUUUAUGCAACAUACCUACUACAGUACAAAUGGGAGGCCUGUUUAAGCAAUUUCUUCCAGGCAACCACUACCAAGAUCCAACCAUUAAUCUUUGUUUAGUUAUGACAUUGCGGACUAAGUCACUUAUUUGUCCGAAAAAGUAAGAGUAAGCUUUGCUUCAGAAAUUAUAUAGUUGGUCCGGGCUACCACCAAAACGAUUACCUCCUGUUAUUUGAGGGUAGAGGGUAGAGACGAUCCAGCAGUGGAACAUCUAUAGGCUAUUUAUGUUUUAUUGAACAUUAUAUUCUUUUCUUGUAGGUAAUAUGAACAUUGCCCACUUGCCUGCAGAAAAUUUGCGGUCAAGGUAUUUAUGCAUUGACCAUUUCAAUAUCAAGUAUGUACGAAAUGAGACUGGUCAUAGAAAAAGACUCCAGAGAAGUGCAGUUCCAGAACCAUAUCAGACUCAAGACCUUCAAAAUCGCUCAAGCACUUCCUCACCAGGUUCAUCAGGUACUUUUAAAGUACUGACACCGAAAAAGGUGUACAAAAAUAAACGGCUUCGCGACUGCGAACUUGAAGAGCUCGUGGAGCCGCCAGCAGUAGCAUACCAGUGUAACACGCCGAAGAGAAGACGGUUGUCAAUUACUGAAGACACGCCAAAAUGCAAAGUAUUAAAAAAGAAAUUAGUAUUGUAUCUAACAAAAACAAAAUGUAAUACCUUUUGAAUUAAAGAAGUAGUUUAAUUGAA